AGAAAUAAAUUCUUGAAGUUGUAGCCCUGACUGACUACCAGAGGCCCCAAAUUUUUAGUGAAGAAAAAAUAGAUAUGCUACAACCAAUCCUUCACAGAAGGUCAUGAAAGGUCCCUUCACUCCUAUUUCUGGAAAUUUUUCCAUCCUAAGAAGAGCAAAAAAUCAAAACAUCAACACUGACGGGCAAAUACUUUUCAGUCCAAUCCAGUGAGAUUCUACAAUUUUCAUGAUGGGAAGUAAUGUCUGACCUAGACAAGACCCAGACAUGGCCUCAUGAGAAAGACCACGGAGCUUUAAAAUUAUUGCCUCGAUUGUGAAUAGAAAUGUGACAUAUAUCAAGGUGUACCACCCACUAAGGUUUGGAGGUUUCUGGAAAGAUGUCCUGGAAAGAUUCACAGUUCAUUUCCCCUGCUUCAUAGAGAAGAGCCACAGAAGAAUCCUGCUCUUAGUAAAGGGAAGGGGAUGUUUAAAUAGAAGCUCAAGCAACAGUUUCCAACUUGAUGAAAAAACAUUGCUCUCAAUGUACAAAGAAGAUGCUCCCUUGACUUCUAUGUGUUCCCAGAACAUUUGGAUGAAUCUGUC